UAAUACGUAGGGGGCAAGCGUUGUCCGGAAUUAUUGGGCGUAAAGGGCACGCAGGCGGUCUUCUAAGUCUGAUGUGAAAUCCCACGGCUUAACCGUGGUAGGUCAUUGGAAACUGGAGGACUUGAGUACAGAAGAGGAGAGUGGAAUUCCACGUGGAGCGGUGAAAUGCGUAGAUAUGUGGAGGAACACCAGUGGCGAAGGCGACUCUCUGGUCUGUAACUGACGCUGAGGUGCGAAAGCGUGGGUAGCGAACAGG
rnacentral:rRNA from 1 species